AGGUGUUCCAGGACUUCUUUAUGUGGGCUCCUUCUGCUGGUGUAUUCUGGAGGAAAAACUGACUCAGUGUAGAUGCAAAUGCAAUACCCAAGAUGAUGUUCACAAAAGAUGAGGCUCCAACUGAGUUACACCGAGGUAUUCUGGGAACUUCUCAUGCUUAACCUCUUCUUCACAGAUAGUGAUGUGCCCGGUGGCAGCCCCAGGAAAAGAACCCACUGUUCCCAGGUCAUGGGGACCAGCUGCCUCAAGUGUGAGAAAAGGAAGGCAUGGAAGAGCUGCCAGUGGGAGUAGAAGAAGAAAAUUUGGCUUUGGGCCAUUUGUUUUGCUGCUGUAUUUUGCAUAAAGGAAGUCUAAAA